UGGGCUGUAGCUCAGUGGCAGAGCGCAUGCCUAGCAUGUGUGAGGCACUGGGUUCUAUUCUCAGCACCACAU
rnacentral:tRNA from 1 species